rnacentral:lncRNA from 1 species
GCCUUGAAGCUGGGUGGAAGCUCAGGUUGGUUUCUCAUCAUCGGUUGGGGGCUGCAUGACACACACGGUUGCCAUCACGAUGUGCGUGUGGUGAUGCUGCCACGGGCAUCUGCCCCGUAAACAGCAGCUCCGAUCAAUUCUCCUUUGUGAGGUGACCACCAAAGGACUGCAGAGCUGGCCGGGGCAUUCGUGCGUGUUCAUGACCGAGAACUUUUCACACAGAGAGGACUUCUGUCCUGACGAAGGAGGGCAGAGCUGGCCGGGGCAUAAAUGCCUGUUCAUGACCAAGAACUUUUCACACAGAGAGAGAAGACUUCUGUCCUGACGAAGGAGCGCAGAGCUGUCCAGGCAUUCGUGCAUGUUCAUGACGGAGAACUUUUCACAGAGAGAGGACUUCUGUCCUGAUGAAGGAGCGCAGAGCUGGCCGGGCAUUCAUGUGUGUUCAUGACCGAGAACUUUUCACAGCUAGGACUUCUGUCCUGACGUCUUUAUUGUAUAAUAGUUGCGUUUAAGGCUGUAGACUUCAAGUUUAUAUUUCUCUUUAUGUAACAGUCUGUUCAUUGUUGAUUCUAUUUUAUUGCGUUGUAGCUACAAAGGGCAGGCUCUGCUGCGUUAGUUCUGUGAAGUUCCCCGUAUUGCCUGGUAUGUGGCCUAUUUAAAAACUAUUCCAUGUGUAUUUAAUAAGAAUUAGCAAUUAAGAAUUGUUCAUUGUAACAAUUAUAACAAUAUAAUUGUUUACCUUUUGAGGCAGUGUCUUUGUACACUUUACAGUGUUGGUUCCAAAUCUUCGACAUGGGUGUGAACUUUUAACACCCUCGCCCUCUGUUUCUAAUGGAGAAGUCCUGGCGUCUCCCGUUCCGACUGUGUAUUUGACCCCUUUGUUCUUCAGUCUGUUUUGGCUUCCUGCAUUUUGAUGCAGUAUGCCUUCAAAUUCAUGAACAUUCAUCUUCUUGUGAUUGUGCUUUUAAUUGUUUUCAUGUUGGCGCCCUUUUCAUCUAUACUGAUGAAAAGUAAAUCAUGCUUUUGUCUAACAGGCUUGUUUAUGUAUUUUGAAAAUUUAUUAUCCCUGCCCACUCCUUUCCACUUCCCUCUCCAUGCAUCACUAUUCUCCCGUGCUUAAUGUGCAUCUUUUUGUUCAUAUGAACCCAUGCAUGUGGGCACAAGUGUGUUUUGUGUGCAUUCUUGUUCGUAUGAACCCAUGCGUGUGGGCACAAGUGUGUUUUGUGUGCAUUCUUGUUCGUAUGAACCCAUGCAUGUGGGCACAAGUGUGUUUUGUGUGCAUUCUUGUUCGUAUGAACCCAUGCAUGUGGGCACAAGUGUGUUUUGUGUGCAUUCUUGUUCAUAUGAACCCAUGCGUGUGGGCACAAGUGUGUUUUGUGUGCAUUCUUGUUCAUAUGAACCCAUGCAUGUGGGCACAAGUGUGUUUUGUGUGCAUUUAGCACUCUUUAAAUAUGCACUAAAACAGAACCUUUCCCCCACCAUCAAAGUCUGCACCAUUCGUGUUUGUACAGCCAGCAGGUAGUUUGCCUUGCUGACAUCAUUUAUCCCUCUGACCUCGGUCUCCUAUAGACUUGCUAAAAUUCUCCCUUUCAAACUCCCUUUGAUGGAGACCAGUGAGUGGUAGACACUCUCAGUUGUUGUUGUUGUUUAAUUUUAAUUUUUAUUUUUUCGAGAUGGAGUCUUGCUCUGUUGCCCAGGCUGGAGUGCAGUGGCAUGAUCUCAGCUCAUUGCAACCUCUGCCUCCCAGGUUCAAGCAAUUCUGCUGCCUUUGCCUCCUGAGUAGCUGGGAUUACAGGUGCAUGCCACCAUGCCUGGCUAAUUUUUGUAUUCUUAGUCAAGAUGGGGUUUCACCAUGUUGGUCAGGCUGGUCUCGAACUUCUGACCUCACCUUGGCUUCCCAAAGUGCUGGUAUUACAGGUGUGAGCCACCACGCUGGGCCUCAGUUGUUUUUUAAUGUCCGAGAUGUCUUUAUUUUGCCUUCAAUAUUUUAUGAAAGUUGCGCUGAGAAUAACAUUCAAAGGUGAAUGUGAUUUCCCCUGGGUCUGUUAAAGACGUCACUCCACUGUCUUCCAGAAGGCAGCGUUGCUAUUGAGAAGUCUGCCGUCAGUCCACAUCUGCUUUUAUGGUAUGUAGUGUGGCUCUUCUUUCUGGUCGUUUUGACUUUUUUUCUCCUUUCCUGGAUGAUCUGCACUUCACUGUAAUAUUCUAGGAGUGGAUUUCUCAAUUUUUAUCAUUCCUUGGUAAUUUAGAUCUGGGAUCUCAUGUCUUUUCAAUUCUGAAGAAUUCUG